rnacentral:rRNA from 1 species
CCUACGGGUGGCAGCAGUGAGGAAUAUUGGUCAAUGGGCGGAAGCCUGAACCAGCCAAGUCGCGUGAGGGAAUAAGGCCCUACGGGUCGUAAACCUCUUUUGCCGGGGAGCAAGGUCGGGGACGUGUCCCGGCCCGGAGAGUACACGGAGAAAAGGCAUCGGCAAACUCGGUGCCAGCAGCCGCGGUAAUCCGGGGGAUGCGAGCGUUAUCCGGAUUUAUUGGGUUAAAGGGGUGCGUAGGCGAGCGUUUAAGUCAGCGGUAAAAAUUCGGGGCUCAACCCCGUCCGGCCGUUGAAACUGGGGGUCUUGAGUGGGCGAGAAGAAGGCGGAAUGCGUGGUGUAGCGGUGAAAUGCAUAGAUAUCACGCAGAACCCCGAUUGCGAAGGCAGCCUUCCGGCGCCCUACUGACGCUGAGGCACGAAAGUGCGGGGAUCGAACAGGAUUAGAUACCCUUGUAGUC